CUUUGGCCUGAAAUGAAAAUAAACACAAAUUUAAUGUUUUCUUUCCAUUUCUGGAUUAAUGUGCACACUACAAUACUUAUUAGAACGAUUUAGAAGAACAGAUUUAAUUUGGGUUUGACCAAUCACAAAAAGUCUCAGUAAGUCUGAGCAGCUGUUAUAAAAUGAUGCACCAAGAUUCUUUAUUGUGUUCAGCUAUACUUCUAUUGGCUUUAUUAAUUUUGUGACCUUGAAUAAGUUACUCUCUGAACUGGUUUCCUCAUCUUAACAUCAUGAUUUUACUUAAAUUCCACUAUCCCCUACAACCCUAUUUAAAAUUGCUACCCCAUCUCCAUUCCAGAAGCCCUCUUCUUCUUCAAUGCAUUAUUUUUCUCCAAAGUACUUAUCUCUUAUCUAACAAUAUGUACAUUUUACUUACUUGUUGUUUGUUGAGAACGUAAGUUCUAUGAAGGCAGGGAUUUUUUGUCUGUUUCAUUCACUGCUAUAUUCCCAACAGCGAACAACAUAGAGCAGGUGUUCAAUUAUAAUAGUAUUUGUUGAAAAAAUGAAUGACUAAAUCUAUUAAAUGAGGAUAGUAGUAUCUGCCACAUAGUAGCCCAGAUUGUGAGGAUUAACUGAGGUAGUGAAUAUAGUAUAUCGAGACUGGAUAUAAGAAUAAAUUAUGCCAUUAUUAUAAUUAAUAUUUUGAUGAAUAAUGAGAUGGACUUCGUUAAGUACGAUAUAAAAAGUUUCAUAUCUUAAUUAACCUAAACAAAAUAGCUCACUUUUAUUAAAUUUUAUUAAGAUUAUUGAAAGAAUCCAAGGAGCAGUGGAGAGAAAUGAAACACGGUCACACGAAAUUGUAAAAUCCUUCCCCCCAUCCCCUGAAGUAAGCUUUAUUGUUUUCAUUUGGUCUACUCCUUUUUAUUUUUAAAAUAUAUGUAACUGCUUUUCCUAUAGCGUGAUACAAAUAAAUUGCUUGAUGCUUACAUGGAUUUCUGCUAUCUGCCACCUGGAUGAGUAAAAUUCUAACAUAUUUCAGUUAUCUUUCUUCGUGCAACAGAUCUGCUUUUUUACUCUCAGUAUAUAUGGUGAUUUUCCAAGAACAAAAUCAAGGUAUGUACAUGAUUACAGUGCAUGCUAUAAAUGGCAUGAGUCCUGGUAUGCCACUCAGAUGGUCUCAUGACUAGUGUAUGACAAGUUAUGGGAGCCCCAGGUUUAUAUAUCCAAGAUGCUGGUGGUUAUUCUCAAGGAUCUGGUGUAUGGAAGCUACUGACUAUAUAUACUUUCCAAGAUGUUAUAAUUUAUUGAAUGCUUAAAAUGCAGGUACUAUAGGACAUGCAUUAUAUGUAUUUUUGCAUAAUAGUAUGCAAUACUUAUAAUAACCCUAGGUGAAUAUUCCUGUUUUAUAGUGUUGAAGAAAAUGAGGCUCAGAAUGGUUUAAGUUGCUUGCCUCAGAGUAAGUGGUGGAGCUGGAAUUCAAAUCUAGAAUUGCAUGACUAUACUGCCUCGUGUAGAAACAGUGAAUUAAGGUAUAAAUGGACUUUAUAUCUUUCUCUUAGACUAUUUAUUCUCUUUUAUUAAUGUAGCGUGUAUAUAUAGUUUGAAAAGUCUGAAUUCUAUAAGGCUUAUGAGUAAAAACUGCAUUUUCCUGCCCUGCUCCUCUUCACCCUGAUCCUAUUUUUCAGAGGUAAUCACUUUCAGCUCUUUUUCGUGUGUUUUGUUAAUUGUUGUAUCUCUAUUUCCUGGAACAGUGGUUCUCUCCUGGGGAUAAUUUUGCCCUCCAGAGGACGUUUGGCGAUAUCAGGAGACAUUUUUGACUGUCAUGACUGUAGGGGUGCUACUGGGCAUCUAAUGGAUAGAAGCCAGGAAUGCUGUUGAAUAUCCUACAAUGCAUAGGAUAGUCCAGAGUGUGCCACGGCUGAGAAACCCUGACCUAAAACAGUGUCUGACAUGUAGUGGGUGCUCAGUAAAUACUUGUUGAAUGCACCUCAUUUAGCUGUUUAUUUUUUCCUGCUGUUUGUUUUCCUCUGUAUUGCUAGAAACUAUAUAUAUAUAUUUUUAAUUUUUUCCUUGCGGCACGCAGGCCUCUCACUGUUGUGGCCUCUCCCGCCGCGGAGCACAGGCUCCGGACGCGCAGGCCCAGCGGCCAUGGCCCACGGACCCAGCCGCUCCGCGGCAUUUGGGAUCUUCCCGAUCCGGGGCACGAACCCGCGUCCCCUGCAUCGGCAGGCGGACUCCCAACCACUGCGCCACCAGGGAAGCCCCAUAUAUAUAUUUUUUUUCUUGAUUUUUCCUGUUUCCAACUAUAGAAAAGGGGAUAUAACUCCUACCAUACCUCCAAACCCCCCUUCCCCAAACACAUACCUUUCCUAUUUGUGUUUAAUUAAAGCUUUGUAACUAUUCCCUGAGACAUGGAGCAUAUUUGACUACAUUGACUUUAGUGUAUAGCUUUUUGGUUUCUCUAGAGCUAAUAAUAGGUAGAUAGUUAAAAUGUUUUCAUUUAUUAGUUUUUAAUCUACCAACCAGUAAUUCAUUCCCAAACUUUCCAGAGGAGCUGGAAAAUAUCCUUCCUUUGAUGGCUCCUCUGUUGGAUCCUUCUGCUUUAUCUUGAAGUUCCUCACAGAGCCUUUUGAUCUACUCCAGUGUGGUUUGGUUGGGGUCUAGGUUUGCUAUACCUAUAGCUUUAAUCUUAAGAUCUUUCUGCACCAGUAUCCUGGGAAUGCCCUUCUCUUGUGCUGGGCCUUUUGUUUUUUCAGUCUCAUUUCGUUCCCUUUCUUGAUUUAUUUCCUUCUGUUGGUGAAAAAUUUCUGCUGAAAACUUCUUAGGAAGGGUGAGUGAGAGAUAUGUUUCUGAGAAUUUACAUGCCUAGAAAUGUCUUGAUUCUACCCUUGGUAAUUUGGGUAUAGAAGUCUAAUGUGGAAAUCAUUUUCCUUCAGAAUUUUAAAAGCAUUCCUUCAUUUUUGUUUAGCACCCGUAUAUUGCUUUUGCAAAAUCUGUUAUUCUAAUUGCCAAGUCUUUGUUUUUUCUCUCUCUCUAAAAACCUUCAGAAUCUUCUCUUCCUUUUUAACGUUCUAUACUUUCGAGAUUACAUGCCCUGCUAUGAUCCUCUUUUGUUGUUCAUUGAAUCUGUAAAUUCAUGUUAUUUAGUUCUAGGAUUUUUUCUUGUAUUAAUCUGAUUUUCUCCCCUCUGAUUCCUUCAUUUUCUUUUUCUGAAAAUCCUGUUAUUCAUAUGUUGGAUCUCUUACACUGAUUCUCUGUCUUUUCUCUCUCUUUUUGCUCUGCUCUCUGAGAGAAUAUCUCAACUUUAUAUUACAAUCAUUCUAUUUAAUUAAAUUUUACUGUUGUUUUAACUUCCAAAAGAUCUUUAUGUUCUAUGAAUAAGCUUUUACAUAGCUUUCCAUUCUUGUUUCAGGGUUGUACAAUAUUGUCUUCUAUUAUUUCUCCGAAGACAUUAGAGAGGUUUUUUUUUUUUUAAAUAAAUUUAUUUAUUUAUUUUUGGCUGCAUUGGGUCUCUAGUUGUGGUGGGUGGGAGCUACUCUUUGUUGCGGUGGCUUCUCUUGUUGCGGAGCACGGGCUCUAGGCACACGGGCUCAGUAGUUGUGGCUUGCAGGCUCUAGAGCUCAGGCUCAGUAGUUGUGGCGCAUGGGCUUAGUUGCUCCGCGGCAUGUGGGAUCUUCCCGGACCAGCAGCUUUUACUGCUCUAAUGAGGCUCGAACUUGUGUCCCCUGCAUUGGCAGGCAGAUUCUUAACCACUGCAUCACCAGGGAAGCCCUGUUUGCUUUUUUUAAGUGAAGUAUAAUUUACAAUAUUGUGUUAGUUUCAGGUGUACAGCACAGUGAUUCAGAUAUACAUACAUAUGUAUAUGUGUGUAUAUAUAUAUGUAUAUGUGUGUGUAUAUAUAUAUAUACACACACACACACACAUAUAUAUUCCUUUUCAUAUUCUUUUCCCUUAUAGGUUAUUACAAAAUAUUGAGUAUAGUUCCCUGUGCUAUACAGUAGGUCCUUAUUGGUUAUCUAUUUUAUACAUAGUAGUGUGUUCAUGUUAACCCCAAACUUCUAAUUUAUCCUUCCCCCCGGAGAGACUUUUUUUUUAAAUGAAGCUUUCUUUUGCUUCUGCAUUAUCUGUUUUGUCUGAGUUCCUUUUUUCUGUUUACUUUGAUUUUUUUUUUAUUAUAGAGAUUUUUCUCAAAUAUCUCAUGAUCUAAAAUGAUGAUUGGAAACUCCAUAUGAGUGAGUGAGGGCUAUCAUUUGGUGGGCUUCACUAUAGGAUAAUCUGGUAUGAACCUGACUAUUUCAUUGGGGGAAUGCCUCAAUAUCUGUAGGUCAGUAUCUGUAGGUCUUUUUUCCUUGGCCUCGUGAGUUUUCUUAGGGAGGACUUCUCUAAUCUCCUGCCUGGGUGAAGCUGACUGGGAGAGAGGUUGGGGAAUGGUCACCCUAUUCAGGAUGCAGAUUUUUACUUAGUCCACCUAAUUUUAAUAUGAUGGUCACUCUGGCCUUAACUGCACCUGGUAAAUGAGUUUAGAAUCUCUUAGAUCUUUUGUCUUUAGAUAAUACAAUUUAUUAUCCUUUGUCAGGGGUAAGGAGAGGAAACUGUGGCUGUAAAAAGUCGGGAAGGGGCUCUACAGGUAAAAUGUUCCUUUUAAACACAUUAUACCCAAUCUCUUCUUUCUAGACCCAUACUGCUUUUAGAAGUACCGUGUGUCUCCUUUUAGAAGUACGAUGUGUGUCCAAUUUAUGAUCCUUUCCAAGGUUCUAUGGCCUGGAUCAUUUGGCAUCUUAAUAUCUUCUGCUAUAAGCUUGUUUUUCGAAUUUUUACUGCUCUAAUGAGGCUACUAAGUACUCAGAACCCAUUUUCCUAGCUUCCAAAAUUUUGAAAUUUCUUUUCUCUUGUUCUUUUUCUAAAAUAUCCUAGUGGUUUAUACAUUAAAAUCUCUAAUUGUUGUUUUUACCUAUCAUUUUAUUGGAGUUUUGAGAGGAUACCAAAAUAAAUGUAUAUGUUUAAUCUGCAAGUUAAAAUCCAUGACCCAUAUUUAUCUGUAGGCAGACUGACAGAAAGCUUAUUGGCCUACUUUUUGUUAAAAAGCCAAAUCUGCUGUUUAAGAAUAGUUGGGUCUUUUACAAAAAGAUCAAGAGAGAGAAAAUUAAUUUAGUUAGGCAAAAAUAGAGGGUUUAGUGAGAAUGAUUAUGUGAUAUCUGUGUGAAAAUAAUCUGAGAACAAUUGUAAAAUAUUUCAGUUAAAUUUCAUCUUUAUUUUUUUUUCCUUUAUUUUAUUUUAUUUUUUUGGCUGCAUUGCGCAUGGCAUGUGGGAUCUUAGUUUCUGGACCAGGAAUCAAACCGGCAGCCCCUGCAGUGGAAGUGGGGAGUCUUAACCACUGAAUCACCAGGGAAGUCCCAAAUUUAAUCUUUUAUUGAGCUGCUUCUACUCAACUGGCUUCAAAGAGGAAGUCAUUUUUCCCCAUGUAAUCAGGAAAUACAAUAUAUACAUAAAAGUGGGAUUUGUUUGGAAGGAAAGGCAGUAAAGUGAAAAAAAAUCUCAAUUUUUUUGCUAUAACUUUCUGGGAUUUAGAUGUUGCCUCUUUUCUGAUAAGAAAGAAACAUGAUAUAAUCUAAUAAAGUAAUAGAUCCAGUGAUAUAGUGGAUUAUGUAACCCUAUAACCCUGCCACUAUUACUACUCAGAAAUGCUAGAUAAAAUAUAAGAAGCAAACUUUUAAAUGCAUAACUGAUAUUGGAAGAAAGUAAGAGUAAGGCCAAGUGCAGGAACCUAGGAAAGCAGUGAGAAGUUGCACUGAUGGUGCAGCUCCUCUGGAUUUGGGAAGGUGAUGAUGUUGGCCUCUGCCAUGCAGGCAGGGCUUAGGAUUUAGUGCUCACAGCGGGCUCACGUGAGGAAAGCAAUGAAACUACUCAAUUUCCAUCCUUCCUGUUAACUAGGCUCAGAGCUUUGGAGUCUUCCUUGACUCUCUCUCACCUCAUGGCCAACUCUAAUUCGCUCCACCUUCAAAAUAUAUCCAGAAUCCAACCACUUCUCAUCACCUAUAUUGCAGUCAAUAUUCAUUUAGUGUUACCUACACCUUUACCACUAUCUAUAUAGUUCCUUUAGAAUUUCCUUUAGUGAUAAACUUCCAGAUAUGAUAAAGACAGCCAGCUAUCCACUGAAGACUUUGAGUUCCCCUUCCAUAAUGUAGAGUUGUUGCUGGCAAGAGACUGUCCAAUCACAGAUCACAUUUCUCAGGCCCUUCACCCCACCCCUUGCUGUGUCCUCUCUCUACCCCAUGUACCUAUGCAAAGCUAAAAGACUAAUUCCUACCAAUAGAUUGUGAGUAGAAAUGAUGGGUGUCACUUUUGGGCUGAACUGGCUCAAAGCAAAUGUGCUUCUUCCACUCCCUGUUUAACCAGCUGCCACCUGAAAUUGAAAGAUUCUGAGGGGCCAUAGGCAAUGACAGAGUCACAAAAUGGAAAAAACUUGGGUUUCUGGAUUACCCUGUGGAAGUCUGCUCACUGAAAGCCUGCCUUAUACUGUUAUACAACCGAGAAAUUAACCUCUGUUGAGUUAAAACACUGAAAACUUGAGGUAUGUUGGUAUAGCUAAUGUUUCUCUAAUAGUGAAAUUGUAGUAGGAUGAGAUGUUGUUAUUAUCAAUACAGAACUCUAAAACAUGUAGCACUGGCUUAGCCAUCAGGUGGUAGGCACAGAAGAAACUGAUAUUAGAGUCUGGAAAGAUAAAGACCAAUGCUCUUCAGGGUAAAAUAUUUGCUAAAACUAUUGCCUGUGAUAAUUUGGAAGGCAGGCAAAAUACUACUGAGUCUGUCCUUUUAGAAGAAAAGGUUGGAAAAUAGAAAGGUAGUGUGAGUUCUUGUUACUGGCUACAUUUAGCAAGGCAGCAACUGGCUGGUUUGCAAGAAGAAAUGAAAAGGAAUAGAGAGACUGCAGAAAUGUGGAACAUUGGAUGAGCUGAUGGUUUGGGGGCCCAAAUAAUAAGACAUUAGAUUAAAAAGGCCUUUUAAUGACAGAUGCCCAUUAAGAUUCUACCCUUCCUCAAUUACAACCCCCCCCAAACCUAUUAAAAAUGGACAAAUGACUUGAAAUGCAAGUCAAAGUAAGGUACCACUUCACACCGGUAGGAUGGCUUUAAUAAAAAAAAAAAAAAGGAAAAAUAACAAGUGUUGAAGAGGAUGUGGAGAAAUUGGAACCCUCUUACAUUACUGGUGGGAAGGUAAAAUGGUUCAACCACAGUGGAAAAUAGUUUGGAAAUUCCUCAAAAAGUUAAAAUAGAAUUACCAUAUAAUCCAGCAAUUCCAUUCCUAUGUACAUACAUAAAAGAAUUGAAAACAACUAUUCAAACAAAAACUUGUACACAAAUGUUCAUAGCAGCAUUAUUCACAGUAGCCAAAAGGCAGAAACAACACAGAUGUCCAUCAUUUGAUGAAUGGAUAAACAAGUUGUAAAUCUAUACAAUGGAAUAUUAUUCAGCCAAAAAGGAAUUAAGUACUGAUACAUGCUACAACAUGGAUGACCCUCGAAAACAUCAUGCUAAGUGAAAGAAGCCAGACACAAAAGAUAACAGAUUGUAUAAUUUCAUUUAUAUGAAAUACUCAGAAUUGGUAAAUCCAUAGAGACAGAAAGUAGGUUAUUGGUUGUUAGGCGCUGGGGAGUAAUUGCUUAAUGGGCAUGAAGUUUAUUUUUGGGGUGAUAAAAUGUUUUGGAACUAGAUGGAGGUGGUGGGUACACAACAUCGUGAAUGUACCAAUUGCCACUGAAUUGUAUACUUUAAAAUGUUAAUUUUUUGUUAUGUGAAUUUUACCUCAAUUACAAAAAGAUUGUGCCCUGCAUUAGAGAUCAGAUUAAGGGUAUAAGCUUCCUAUCCAACCAAGCCUAAUGGCCUCAAGGUAGUUGCCUUUAACUUGAGAGGGAGGCAUGAACAAGGAAGCAAAGAAAAUACAUAUUGGAAAGGAUAAAAAAAAUCCAGUCAUUUUUCAUAUAUGAUGGCAUUUCUAUGUAGAAAAUGCAAAUAAGUCCACAAACAAACAAUAUUACCAUAACAGAGUUCAGCAAGACUUGGGAUACAAAAUCAGUAUGCAAAAAUUGACUGCGUUCCUAUUAACCAAAAAUUUUUUGAAAAUGUAGUUUAAAAAAUAUCACAUACAAUAGCAACAAAAACAGUAAGAUAUCAAGAAAUAAAUCUCAGAAAAGUUGUACAAGACCCUUAGGGGAAAAAUUAUAAAACUCUACUGAAAGAUUUUGAAAGAGACUUAGAAAAAUGAAGAAACAUAGCAUGUUCAGAGAAGGGAAAACAGUAUUUUAAAGGUGUCAGUUCUCCCCAUAUUAAUGUAAUUCCAACUAAUAUCCCAACAAUUUGUGUGUGUGUGUGUGUAACUUGAGAUGUAGAAUCUAAAAUUCCCCAAAAGAGAAAGAAGCAAGCCUUGCCAACAUAAUUUCCAAAAAAGAGAAAGUAGACGAACUUGCCCUGUAAGAUAUUAAGACUUCUCAUAAAACCACAGUAACUAAAAUGGUGUAGUACCGGCCCAAGGAAAUAGAAAUAGAUCAGAAGAAUAUAAUACAUACGAAUCAAAAGAACGAAAAUUGUUUACAUAUGAAAACAUUAUAUGUGGCAAGGCUGGCAUUACAAACCAAAUGGGAAAGUCUGAGCUAUUUAAUAAAUGGUCAUUUGGGCAACUGGUUAUUUAUACAGAAAAUAAUAGAAUUUGAUUCCUACCUCAUAUUUUAUGCAAAAAUAAAACUCCAGAUGUUUUAAAGGUUCAUGUUUAAGAAGCAGAAAUAAAAACUUUUAGGAGACAAUAUAAGAGUAUCUUUAUAACCUGGCGAAAGGAAGGCAUUCUUAAGACACAGAAGGCAUAAAGGACAGGACUGAUACAUUUGCCUACAUGAAAGUUAAAGACAUCUGUCCUGAUAAAUGGAUAAAGAAGAAGUGGUACAUAUAUACAAUGGAAUACUACUCAGCCAUAAGAAAUGAAAUAAUGCCAUCUGCAGCAACAUGGAUGCAGCUAGAGAUUAUCAUACUAAGUAAGUCAGAAAGAGGAAGACAAAUACCAUAUGAUAUCAUUAUAUAUGGAAUCUAAAAUAUGACACAAAUGAACCAGUCUAUGAAAUAGACUCACGGGCAUAGAGAAAAGACCGGUGGUUGCCAAGGGGGAGGGGGUUGGGAAGGGAUGGAUUGGAGGAUGGGGUUAGCAGAUGUAAGCUCUUAUAUAUAGAAUGGAUAAACAACAAGGUCCUACUGUACAGCACAGAGAACUAUAUUCAAUAUCCUAUGAUAAACCAUAAUGGAAAAGAAUAUAAAAAAAGAAUGUAUAUAUAGUUAUAUAUGUAUAACUGAAUCACUUUGCUGUAUAGCAGAAAUUAACAGAACAGUGUAAAUCAACUACACUUCAAUAAAAAAAAUAGUAAAGAGAAAAGACUUCUGUCCUAAAAAAGACACUAUACACAAAGUUAAAAUCAAUCCACAUACUGGGAGAACAUAUUUACACUUUCUACAACUAAGUAUUAGGAUGAAGAAUUAUAUACUCAUUCAUUAUUCUAAUAGUUAUAAAAUUAGUAUUUUAUAUAUAUAUACUAAAUUAUUAAAAAAGAUAAGCACCCCAUUAGCAAAAUGGGCAAAGGAUAUCAACAGGCCACUCACAGAAGAAACGCUAAUGGUUAAUAAACAAAAAUUGCUCUCUGUCAUCCCAAAUUAGGGAAAUGCAAAUCAAGACAAUAGUUACUUUCUUUCCCCUACCAGAUUGUUAAAAGUUAUAAUCUAAUAAUCUCAGGUUUUGGAAAGACAGUGUGGAGCGACGGGGCCUCUCAUACAGCGCCGAUGGGAGUAUAAACUGGCACGACACUUUGGAAAGCAAUUUUGAAACAUUUGGCUAAUUCAAAGGUGCACAUAUUUUAAGAUCCAGCAAUUCCAUUUCUAUGUAUAUAUUAUAGAACAGUGGGUCAAAAAUGGGAUCUAGCAUCCCAGGGGGUUGUAAAAGAUGACCCACUGGAGAGCAGGAAAAUAAUAUUAGAACCAUAUCUAUUUGUUCAUUUUAAUCUAAAAAACAAGAAGGAAAUGAAAAUAUUUAAAAUUUAACAUAUGGAUAGGCACUGACAUUUUCCCUAGGUAUGAUGUAAAAUGGUAAAUCAUGAAAGUUAAGAUGUUUUGAGGGUAGAGGGGAAAUUCCACAGUGAUGCAGAGUUGGCCACUGCGGACCCCUUUGUCCACUCUCUUGUAGUGUAUUGCAAUACCUACAAUUUAUAUGGGUAAGUGAAUUAUGGGUAAUACAUGGGUAAUAUUAUUUAGUUUCAGAAUUGCUAAAGUAGACAUGUGGGUUAAUUAUACUAACAAGGCAAAGAUAAACAACAAGAAAAUGACAAAGAGGAUAUAUCUCUGCUUCUAGUUUGAACACUACCUGCCAUAUUUAGAGACUUAAAAAAUAGUCACUUGUAAUCAAAUCUGACUUUUAAUCACACUAUCAUUAAAAUACAUUAUUAAAAUUUUUCUUAGACAGUUUUAAUUUUCUUAAGAAAAAUUAUUUAAUAUUUUAUUUCAUCUUUGUCUCAUUCUUUUAAUUUCUAUUAGUAUGUUUUAAUAUAUAACAUUACUAUCGAAGAAUAUAUAUAAUUUAUAUAUAUUUAAAUGCAUUCUCAAGAAUAUUUUAUGAAUAAGUAUGCAUGAUCAAAAAACUCUAUAGACCAUUGUCUUAGAAACAUUUUGUAAAUGUGUACUAAAAGACAUGUACAAGGGUGUUCAGUGCAGUGUUGUUCAUAAUAAAGAAGUUGGAAUCUACGUUAAUAUUUAUUAAAAGGGGAAAGGAUAAGUAUUUCUGUAUUUCUUAAAAUAGUAAUGAUAUGCUGUCAGUAGCUAAAUUGAUAAAUUAGAGCUAAGUGUAUCAAAAUGAAUACAUUUCAAAAACAUGAUGUUGAACUAAAAACUCAGGUUGCAGAAGGAUAGGUUCAUUAUAAUGUCAUAAAUACAAAGUUUAAAAAUGCAAACCAAUACUACAGAUACAUAUAUAGCUACACAUAUAUAGCAGAGGAAUCAAAACAUGCAUACAAAUGAUUCAAAUCAAAUUCACUAUAGCGGUUCUUCUGGUGAGGGAGUGGAAUGGGCUUGGGAAAGGUACACAGGGGACUUUAAUUUUAUGUAUAAUUUUAUUUCUUUAAGAAACAAAGGCCCAAACCAAAUGUGGCAAAAUAUUAAGUCCAGAUAAAGCUGGCUGAUGAUUACAAGGGUAUUAGAUAUAUUAUUCUCAAAACUUUUUCAUAGGGACUUCCCUGGUGGUCCAGUGGUUAAGAAUCCGUCUUGCAAUGUACAGGACGCUGGUUCAAUCCCUGGUCUGGGAACUAAGAUCCCACAUGCCCCAGGGCAACUAAGCCCGCGCCACAGUUACUGAGCCUGCUUGCUCUGGAGCCCGUGCGCCCGUGCACCGCAGCAAAGAGCCUGCACGCCACAACAAAAGAUCCUGUGUGCGCAACUAAGACCCAAGGCAGCUAAUAAAUAAAUGAAUAUUAAAAAAAAACCUUUUUCACAUACUUGAAAUAAAUGUUGAAUGAGGUAAGGAAUUUUCUGACUAAUUUCAAAAUGCGUUGUAAAAAUGUAGAUACUAUCAGUUAUCCACUGUUUGGCUGUUAUGCUUUAUCCGUCUAUUAUGACACUUAACACAUACUUUAUAUUGCAGUUAGGUUUAUACAAAUAUGUCUCCUGCAGUAGAUUAAACUGUGGCAAGUAUCUUAUUCCAUUCUUUUAUCCCUGAAGAUGACAAGCAUAAUAUCCUGUAUAUAACAGGCCCCCAAAGAAUGUUUACUAAUGAACAAUGAAUGAAUCUAAAUGGCUUGGACAGUUUUAUCUGAACUCUUGUGUUAUAACUCUCAUAAAGACAACAACUGCAAUGCUAGACAAUGAUUUACUUUAUUAAUUCUUCUUUGUAGAUUAUACAAACUGAUGUGACAUCUUUUUCCUGCUAUAAAAACAAUGUAGAGGAUUGCUUUGUUUAAAUUGCAGGUGCUACCUUGAUUCUUUGGUAUUGGUAUUUCUGAAGACUUGAGGGGACUUGCAGAUGUUCACCUCUGGCAGACAAGGAAGGAUAGGAGUCACUGAUAUUCUCUAACUUCCUAAAUGCUGCAGAAAAUGGAUAAAAUAGAAUGGAUGUGAACAAGACUUCCCUGAGAGAGGAGCCUCUAUUAGAGAGAUAGGAGGCCUAGUGGACUCAAGAAAAGAUACCAAAUAGUAGUGUGUAUUUCUGUGUGUGUUUGGGAGAUGGGCUGAGGAUAGUUAGGUAAAGGGAAGAAUGUGAUCAACUUGGAAGAAUUAAACCUCAACCAUCUAUCUAUUUAAUUAAUUAGUUUAUUUUUUGGCUGGGCCGCAUGGCUUGCGGGAUCUUAGUUCCCAGACCAGGGACUGAACCUGUGCCCCCUGCGGUGAAAGCACAGAGUCCUAACCACUGGACCACCAGGGAAUUCCCUAUCUAUUUUAUUUUAUUUUUUUAAAUAAAAUUUAUUUAUUUAUUUAUUUUUGGCUGCAUUGGGUCUUCGUUGCUGCAUAUGGGCUUUCUCUAAUUGCGGAGAGUGGGGGCUCCUCUUCAUAGUGGUGCAUGGGCUUCUCACUGCGGUGUCUUCUCUUGUGGAGCAUGGGCUCUAGGUGCGCAGGUUUCAGUAGUUGUGGCAUGCAGGCUCAGUAGUUGUGGGGCACAGGCUUAGUUGCUCCACAGCAUGUGGGAUCUUCCCGGACCAGGGCUUGAACCCGCAUCCCCUGCAUUGGCAGGCGGAUUCUUAACCACUGCGCCACCAGGGAAGCCCUCCCUACCUAUUUUAAAUGACAUUCUUGAUUCCAAAAUCUUAAUGAAGUAGAGUGUAAAAUCACUGAUUGGAGAUGUGGCAGUCAGGCUAGGCUAACUAGCUGAAAAUCUCAGUGGAACAGAAAAAACUGAAAAUCUCAGUGGCUUAACACAACAAAGGUUUAUUUCUCUUUUUUGUCAUCGUCUGAUGUAGAUUGGGUGGCUCCCCUGCUUGACUCUCCUCCAAGUGGUGACUCAGGGAUUCAAGUUCCUUUUAUCUUGCAAUUCUGCUGUCUUAUAGUACUUUGUUUCCAGCUGCAUGGACAAGAGAGAGAAAGGGUAUGGAUGAGGUACACCCUUCUUGGAUUAGAAGUGACACAUCGGGGGCUUCCCUGGUGGCGCAGUGGUUAAGAAUCUGCCUGCUAAUGCAGGGGACACGGGUUCGAGCCCUGGUCCGGGAAGAUCCCACAUGCCAUGGAGCAACUAAGCCUGUGUGCCACAACUACUGAGCCUGUGUACUACAACUGCUGAAGCCUGUGUGCCUAGAGCCCGUGCUCUGCAACAAGACAAGCCACCGCAAUGAGAAGCCUGCACACUGUAAUGAAGAGUAGCCCCCACUUGCCACAACUAGAGAAAUCCCGCGCACAGCAAUGAAGACCCAAUGCAGCCAAAAAGAAAUAAAAUAAAUAAAUUUAUAUAAAAAUAAGUGCCACAUCACUUUAACUCACAUUCUGUUGUUAAGAAUUAGUGACAUGAUACCAGUAGGCUUCAUGGGAGCUGGGAAAUGGUGAGGAGCACAUGGAGUUUUGGGGGGCAUUAGCAAUCUUGCCAUAGACAUAUUGCCUCCAUUAUGUUAUUCUGUGUCCUUUAU